rnacentral:lncRNA from 1 species
GUGUGUGAAAAGAAUGCUGACAGCAGUGUUCUAAUUUUUAAAACGUUCUCCGAUUGACACCCUUCUCUUUUGUGGCCGACCUCCUCAUCACAGGAAGGUUGUAAACCGCGCUUUGCUUUCAACAGCUCUUGAGAGCGUCGGAGGCCGUGUAACUGGGGAACCGUGUUUGGGAGGCUCUGGGCUUCGUCUCUUCGUCCUGCAGUGAGUGGACAGUCCGCACUGGCAGAGCCUUGGCCUGGAAGUCUGUUAGGUGUCUGGCUCUCUUAGUUACGUACUGCACUUUGCCUCUUACAGAAAAGUGUUCAGAAGAACCAGCUUAUUUUCUCAAGAAAAAGAAAUCAGGACCAACCUGGUUUAUUUUGCCUUGCGCUUUGGAUAAACUAAUCAGAAUCAGGUGAACUGUCAGUUGUGUACAGUUGGACGUCAGACGCUGAAAACGACACACAGAUCCAGCAGUCCCGGUCUCCAACAGUGCUCGUGCACCUCAUUGCUGUCCGAGUUGUUACAUUCCAAGAGGAAGCACAGACGAGAUGUUCAUACUCAGGCUUUCAGUUUUCUGUUCUGCGCGACCCUCUUGGCCGCCUGUGCCCCCAGAGCCCGCACUGCAGGCCACGUCGCGAGUGCUUGUAUCCAAACUUGGUGGUGGCUGAACAAGAAGAGACCCUUGACCAGGAUGAGUGUACAUUCUGCUGGUGGAGCACCCCACACAGCAACUGGGUACCUGUGGCCCAGCCCUGCAGAUAGACAGGCUGUCACACUGAGUGAGGACUUCACAAAUGCUCUCAAGAGGACCCGAGCUGCAGACCACCCGCCUAUCUCACGCAGGGUCCCGCUCCCGGAGGGAGGUGAGCAUCCUGGGCUUUCUGCUCUUGUGCUGACCUAUGACGAGGGCUGGUCAGGGCUGGGGGAUCUGGAUUUAGCAUGCUCAAACUCAUUUCUUUUCCACAUUCCAAGAGGAUUUCUUCCCUGAAAAAGAGGGGACACAGGAAAGCAAGUUCCAGUGUUUUUAUUCAAACAUAAUCCUUAAUAUCCUUUCUGGGCGCUCCCCAAAAGGACCGUUGUUUUUAAAAGGAAAAUAUCAGUUAAGACGAACCGUGUCACUCUGGGACCUUUAAAAAGCCAGUGGGCCUCUGCUGGACCACACUCGAUGCAGAGAUCACAAUCUAUCCCUUUCUUGAAAAUCUCCAAAGUGUUUUUGAAAUGGUUAGUAAUAAUAAACGAGACAAGGGAAGCCA